UACAGGGGGUGCAAACGUUGCUCGGAAUCAUUGGGCGUAAAGCGCACGUAGGCGGUUCGUUAUGUCGGAUGUGAAAGCCCUUGGCUUAACCGAGGAAGUGCAUCCGAAACUGGCGAGCUAGAGUACUAAAGAGGGUCGCGGAAUUCCCGGUGUAGAGGUGAAAUUCGUAGAUAUCGGGAGGAACACCGGUGGCGAAGGCGGCGAUCUGGGUAGAUACUGACGCUGAGGUGCGAAAGCGUGGGGAGCAAACAGG
rnacentral:rRNA from 1 species